UGUUUUCUGACCACGGGAAAUAUGUUGAAUCUUUCCGGAGGUUUCUCAACCAUUCCACGGAACACCAGUGCAUGCAGGAAUUCAUGGACAAGAAGCUGCCAGGCAUAAUAGCAAGGAUUGGAGACACAAAAUCAGAAAUUAAGAUUCUAAGCAUAGGCGGAGGUGCAG
rnacentral:sRNA from 1 species